rnacentral:rRNA from 1 species
UACGUAGGUGGCAAGCGUUGUCCGGAAUUAUUGGGCGUAAAGCGCGCGCAGGUGGUUCCUUAAGUCUGAUGUGAAAGCCCACGGCUCAACCGUGGAGGGUCAUUGGAAACUGGGAAACUUGAGUGCAGAAGAGAAGAGCGGAAUUCCACGUGUAGCGGUGAAAUGCGUAGAGAUGUGGAGGAACACCAGUGGCGAAGGCGGCUCUUUGGUCUGUAACUGACGCUGAGGCGCGAAAGCGUGGGGAGCGAACAGG